AGUCCGCCGCCUCCCUCCGAGCGCAGGACGCUCCGACGCCCGCUUGCCCGCAGGCCACCGCAGGAACCCCACCGGUGCAGAACCGUGCCACUGCACCCAUAAGACAGCCCGAGGCUCCUGGCAGACCCUACUGGGAAUUACACAGCAAGAUGGCUUUCCCUACUCCAUCGUGGCUAGAGCCUCUGCAAGGGCUGAAGCCCUUUGAUCUUGGCUUCAUUUGGAUACAUUUCAAGGGCCUUACUGGCUUUGGGCAAGUGCUGAAGUUCACUCAUUUUCUAUUGGUUGUUUCUCCCCAUGAAAGGCUGGUCUCAAAUUCCUGAGCUGAAGCCAUCCUUCUGCUUCAACUUUCCUUCUGUAUUUUGAGAUAAGUUUUCACCGUGUAGCCCUGGCUGGCCAGGAACUCACUAUGUAGACCAGGGUCUCUCUGACUCCCUGGUGCUGAGAUUAAAAGCAUACACCACCA
rnacentral:lncRNA from 1 species